rnacentral:rRNA from 1 species
GACGGACCACACAAACGUUAUUCGGAAUUACUGGGCUUAAAGGGUGCGUAGGCUGUGCAGUAAGUCGGGUGUGAAAUCCCUCGGCUUAACCGAGGAAUUGCGCCCAAAACUACUGUGCUUGAGGAAGACAGAGGUAAGCGGAACUUAGGGUGGAGCGGUGAAAUGCGUUGAUAUCCUAAGGAACACCGGUGGCGAAAGCGGCUUACUGGGUCUUUUCUGACGCUGAGGCACGAAAGCUAGGGUAGCGAACGGG